rnacentral:rRNA from 1 species
CCUACGGGUGGCUGCAGUGGGGAAUAUUGGACAAUGGGCGAAAGCCUGAUCCAGCCAUGCCGCGUGUGUGAAGAAGGCCUUCGGGUUGUAAAGCACUUUCAGUGGGGAAGAAAGCCUUGGGGCUAAUACCCUCGAGGAAGGACAUCACCCACAGAAGAAGCACCGGCUAACUCCGUGCCAGCAGCCGCGGUAAUACGGAGGGUGCGAGCGUUAAUCGGAAUUACUGGGCGUAAAGCGCGCGUAGGCGGUCUGAUAAGCCGGUUGUGAAAGCCCCGGGCUCAACCUGGGAACGGCAUCCGGAACUGUCAGGCUAGAGUGCAGGAGAGGAAGGUAGAAUUCCCGGUGUAGCGGUGAAAUGCGUAGAGAUCGGGAGGAAUACCAGUGGCGAAGGCGGCCAUCUGGACUGACACUGACGCUGAGGUGCGAAAGCGUGGGUAGCAAACAGGAUUAGAUACCCCUGUAGUC